GCUGUCGUUGUAAACACAUCUCAGAAAAUCUAUCGUUUUAGAAAAUGGCGCAUAUUUUUCGCUCCUGGCAUGGGAUUAAAGCUUCUCUUUUGGAAGCAGUGAAGUACCUCAUCUGAUUUAUGUUUGUUGGGUCCUCACAGCUUUUGUAUUUAGCCCCUGAUGGAGUAACGUGUGUUGAGCAGUGCCGUAAGAUUAACGUUGGUUUCAGCUGAGAAGCCAUGCAAUUUUUCUAUCAACUGUGAAUGGGGUUAAAGUUGCCCAAAUGUUUACCGAAUGAUGCAUUCUAGUUGUGUUUUUAAGGUGAGCUUUUCACAGUAAGAGGUUAUAUUGAAGUUGUAGAUAUUCGAGCACUUUAUAGAAACAUCAAACAUGCACAGCCUCAAUAAAUAUGGAUACGAUUUAUAUCAAAUUUGCCAUGUUUUAAUAAGGGUAUUAUAAAAUUGCCAUAUAUAAUAAAUGUAACUAACACCAGUUAUAUCGACUUCAGUAAUAAUAUUCACUACAGAAACUUCAUAUCAUGAUAAAGAUUUAAAAUCGUAACAAGUUUUGGAAGCCACUUUAAAUUUUUAGGGCAUAUAUGUAGGACUUUGUACAAUCUUUUAUACAGUAUCUCCUGAAGUUUAUUCUGACAUAAAACUGAUUUGUUCUUGUAUAUCUUGUAUUAGUUCUUCGACUUGGAUGACCCUGGCAAAGAGAAUAUUCAAUAUAUGUAAUAUUUUGUGGGAAUUUGGUAUUCUACCAUCACCAUAAAGUGAUGGUCAAGAGUUGGAUGCUGUACUCCACCACCAAAUCAGUAAAAAGACAAGCACCAUGUAAUUGCUACCAUCAACAUAUGAAUCCUGUCUGCUUAGUAGAUCUACCAUCUCAUUGAGAGUCAACAGAUAAGAUGAUGAAGAGGUACAUGUAUGUGAUAUUGAUGAGACAGGUUUUAUACCCAGGUUUGAGGUGUAUGUCUGUAUGCCAUCAGACAAAUUAAACUAACAGACAACCAUAAAUGGUAAAAUAUAUAACUCUGUGCAGCCACGUACAGUUCUGGUACACGACGGUCACUAGUUAUAAACAGAAUAAAGACACAAGUCAAUUGAUUUUGAAAUUAUUUUAUUUUAUGAAAUGUUGCACUAUUUCCAUUUUUAAAACCAAAAUACAUGGGAAGUAUAAGGUUAGAAGAACAGGAAACAGUGCUUUUAAUGUGCAUACCCCUAUCUAAACCUACUGUAUAAAAUAUUAUCUAGAGUCAUAAAAUAUUAAAAUUAUUUAUACCUAUUUAUAUAUUUAUAUGUUAACUGCUUAACUUAUUUAUUUUUUAAAAUUAUGAUUUUACAUUGUGAGUGCACCAGAACUCGGUUCCAGCCGGCUAGUUCUUGCCGGAACUAAUAAAAAAAGCAUGACUGGAACUCUGUUGUUUUCAGAGAGAUAGAAUAUUAUACGUUUUUGUGGCAAACCAAAGUUCACAGUAGGAAGGAAUUUGGACUACACAAGGAAAAUGUACAUGACGUUUAAAGUUUGUCAAUCUUUUUAUUCUCACAUUUGUGAGCUCUCCUUGAUGACUUGAAGUGUCUGCCUGUCUGGCAGCAGACAAAGUAACAUAUGACUAUAUAUGGCUUAAUAAAUCAGUUCCGGCAGGAACUUUAAAAAUUGGUUCUGGUGCACCCCUAUUUUACAUAUUACUACAGCAUGGCUUAAUGUCAAUAAUAUAUACUAUGGUGUAAUGUGAAAUGUAAAACUGAUGAAGUAUGAAUAAAGUUUAAAAUAUGCC
rnacentral:lncRNA from 1 species